AUUUUUGCGACUGUAAAUUUAUACAGAUAUGUUAAACGUUGACCAAUGUGAUGGAUAUAAUUGCAACUAAAUUUUAAAAUCAGAAUAAAUUGCUAAAAUCAAUUAAACAAAAUUAUAAAACACACAAAGGUUUAGGUUUUGUUGACUGCUAGGCCAAUCUUAACGGACAUCGUUUAAGCCUAGACUAAAUUGGAUUUUGCCCUUUAGCCCGUAACAUCAAUUUCUGAAUCUUUUCCUUGGCUUCGGUCGUGUCAUUUUUCUCAAGUUCCUGCAGCAACAUCUUGUAUGUGCCAUCUUCAGGAAUCAUUCCCUUCCAUACUGUUUCUUUAAAGAAGAAGCAAGCAUGUUCAAGCUUCCCAUUCUUACAAAGUCCACGCACCAGAAGAGUAUAUGUACCAAGAUCGAUACUGACAUUGUUCUUAAACAUGUGAUUCAACAAAAACUUGAGUACCUUCAUUCUCUUCUUCUUGCAGCACAUCUUCAGUAAAGGUGCAUAUGUCUGUAUAUCUGGUUUGCAUGAAUCUUCUUCCAUUCUUUGAAGCAACUUCAAUGCAUUGUCUUCUUGCGAAUGAUUACAAGCAGAUGUGAUCAUGGUUUUAUAAGUCAACAAAUCCCGACGAAUUCCUUGCUUUUCCAUAUCCUCAAAAACACCCCAAGCGUCCUUCAGUCUUCCAGACUGACUUAAGAUAUAAAUCAAAGAGCUAUAAAAUGAAGAAUCAGGCACACAUUCAUUUCUUUUCAUUUUAUCAUAAACCUCCAAGGCUUCAUUUACUUGCUUUGCUUUCCCCAAAGCAAGCAUGAUAAUGGUAUAUGUAAUCACGUUAGGCUUGCAACCCUUUUCUUGCAUCUCAUCUAAAGUUGCAUUGGCAUUUCGAAAAUCUUUCGAUUUACAAUAUGAUUCAAUGAAACAGGAGUAUGAAACAACGUUAGGUUGAAACCCAUGUUUCUCCAUUUCAUCCAUAAUCUUUCUUGCAUCAUCUAAUUUUCUUGCUUUGCAAUACCCAUGUAUCAAAAUAUUGAAACUACGAGAGUCUGCAGGCAUACAAUCCUUAAACUCCAUAAACACACUAUGAGCAUGCUCAACACUUCCCUCCUUAACCAAUGCAUCCAUUAGUGUAUUCAAUGCUUCUAUGUCUUUACUUACACCAAAAUUUUCCAUUCCUCUAAAUGCCUCAAUAGCAUCUUCAUACUGGCCAGCUCUAGCAAGCCGCCUCAUCACCUUGCUCAUUGUAACCAACGAAAUAUACCCUUUUAACUCCAUUUCCUUAACCAAUCCCCACAUAAGACAGAACUUCUUGCGCUUCCCUAAGACAUCAACCAUGGAAUCAUAUAUCUCCAAUGUAUGUAUAUAACCUGUUUGAUUUUUUGCCCAAGUGAAGACCCCAAAAGCGGGAACCCAAUCAUUGCUAAACCUCUUCAAAAGCUGUGAAAUCAAAGCGUUUGUGGCAUUAACACCGCAUCCAUUCAACGCUUGAACAACACUAUCCGUUGAUGGGUAGUGUUUCUGUAGGAUUUCACCAACUUUAUCGACAUCACUAACAUCAGUUUCAAACAGCAAGUGACCGCCUACCUGAUUGACGUUUCCAACGUUGUCAUUCCUAGUCCAUUCGGCUACUGUAGGAAUAAUAAAAUCGUCAUCAUUGUGAUCGGUGAAUUCUGAGUUUUCUUUGUGACGGAGCCAAGUUGGGAGAUCAGGUGACUCGGCCGUAUCAGAAGAGGCAGGGGUGAGGGAUGUCCGAAGAGGCUUAGGUAAUAAGGAAUUAGUUUGGGGAGUUUUGGAGGAGGAAAAUAUUUGACAAAGCUUGUGAAUUUGCUGUUUUGGUGGCAUUUCCGUGGAAUUUCAAAGCAAAACAGAGAAAUGAAGGAAAUGGUGGAGCUGAUGAAGUUGGUGGAGAACUGAAGAGGAGGCUAUUAAAUAUUGUGCUGGGUCCAAACUAUUUUGUUGUUCAUGCUACUUAAGGGUUCUGUACUUCUGUUCAGAUGCCAAACGGCAUCGUUUCAGCAGUCAAGACAUCUUCAAUGGAUAUGCUGUGAAUGUAGAGUACGGAAAAGAAAAAAAAUUAAAAAAAUAAAGCUGCUGAUAACAACAAAAGUAUUUGUGAAUUCAACGCAGAGAUGCAGAGAGAAUUUGCUGGACAGUGGAAGAAGAACAAGGAAAAGGAUAAUAAUAAUAAAAAAAGAGCCAGAAUGGGCAUUUUGUUCACCAGAAUGUUCUCUUCUCUGUUCGGUAAUAGAGAAGCUCGAAUCCUUGUG
rnacentral:misc_RNA from 1 species